rnacentral:rRNA from 1 species
CAAUAGCGUAUAUUAAAGUUGUUGCAGUUAAAAAGCUCGUAGUUGGAUUUGUGGUGUACUUUGGCGGCCCGUCACUAUGUGAUGGAGCUUGCUGAAGUCGCCAUCCUUGGGUGGAUCCUGUGUGGCAUUAAGUUGUCGUGCAGGGGAUGCCCAUCGUUUACUGUGAAAAAAUUAGAGUGUUCAAAGCAGGCUUAUGCCGUUGAAUAUAUUAGCAUGGAAUAAUAAGAUAGGACCUUGGUACUAUUUUGUUGGUUUGCGCACCAAGGUAAUGAUUAAUAGGGACAGUUGGGGGUAUUCGUAUUUCAUUGUCAGAGGUGAAAUUCUUGGAUUUUUGAAAGACGAACUACUGCGAAAGCACUUACCAAGGAUGUUUUCAUUAA